GACCCUGCCCUGCCCGCUCGGAUCGCGCGGGGCCGCGGCGCGGCGGGGCCCGACGACCGUGCGGCCGCCCCGGUGCCCCGCUGGAGGCCGGGAGCGGCCGGGAUCGGUCACAAACCACCUGUGUUUGAGCUAGUUCCAACAUGACUGGCAUGAGAACACCUGCCAGGAGCACGGCAGUCGUGUGCUGUGGGUAACUUCCAAGCCAGCGUUUUGCAGGGAGCUGCCACAAGAGCUGUGUGUUGUGCCAUGGCAUCAGCUAGACCCAGGUGUCAAAAGCUGAAGUGGUCUAACUCCGUGUGCCAAAGCAGAAACUGGUUCUGCCUCUGCCCUGCACUCAGCAGUCAUCCUUGCCCGUGGUGCUGUACAGAGAGCCUGGCUCAUGGAGCACAGAGAGGCUCUGCUCAUUAAACGUUGUGUCAGAUGGGGUGGCUGGAGAAGCCCAUCUCUCUCCUGCAUCCUCUCAGACCAGGUAGGAUGGGUUCCUCCUUAGGGCUUGGUGUCCCACCGUGUUCUGGGUGGUUCCCACUUGCUGUGAUGUGCUUCCUUUGGCUUCACCUCGGCACCUAAGAAUGAUGA
rnacentral:lncRNA from 1 species